AGAAAAUUAAACCACAAGCGAGCAACAAAUCAAAGUUCAUACUAAAACGCAGUCGGCAAUCUAAAAGACAGCGAGACCAAAGAACAUAGAACAUACAUAGAGCAUAGAACAGCACAGUACGAUACAGAACACGAUGAAAAUUAAGCCAAGAUGGCCCGGAAAGGGCCGACUGUUUGCAUGCAGCUUCAGAUGUUCCAACUUUGGACCACUACUUCUGAAAUACACAGCUUAUGGGUACUUCAAUAGUGUCUUUCAGUCUGGAUUAGCCUACGUGCACACACAGAGACCCGCUUCGCCCGGAGGAUUCCCACAUGGGACCCCACCCCAGCAAGCCCUCCCGACUGGAUUCCAAGUGAUGGGACAGGGAGCUCCCUGGCAUGCCUACAUUCAACAUAGCCAGGGUCAGAAUCAGAAUUAGCUCUAUUAUCAACGGCAUAUGUUAAAAAUUUGGUGUCUUUGCAGCAGCAGUACAAUGCAAUAAAACAAAACUGUGA